UGGAUUUGAUUUGAUUCUAGUGGCGGACGGGUGAGUAACGCGUGGGUAACCUGCCUUAUACAGGGGGAUAACAGUCAGAAAUGACUGCUAAUACCGCAUAAGCGCACAGAGCUGCAUGGCUCAGUGUGAAAAACUCCGGUGGUAUAAGAUGGACCCGCGUUGGACUAGCUUGUUGGCAGGGUAACGGCCUACCAAGGCGACGAUCCAUAGCCGGCCUGAGAGGGUGAACGGCCACAUUGGGACUGAGACACGGCCCAGACUCC
rnacentral:rRNA from 1 species